rnacentral:rRNA from 1 species
CAGUCGCCGCGGUAAUACGAAGGGGGCUAGCGUUGCUCGGAAUUACUGGGCGUAAAGGGAGCGUAGGCGGACAUUUAAGUCAGGGGUGAAAUCCCAGAGCUCAACUCUGGAACUGCCUUUGAUACUGGGUGUCUUGAGUGUGAUAGAGGUAUGUGGAACUCCGAGUGUAGAGGUGAAAUUCGUAGAUAUUCGGAAGAACACCAGUGGCGAAGGCGACAUACUGGAUCAUUACUGACGCUGAGGCUCGAAAGCGUGGGGAGCAAACAGGAUUAGAGACCCCCGUAGUCCCUGUCUCUUAUAC